rnacentral:rRNA from 1 species
AAAGGUGAGCCAGUACAGGAUGGACCCGCGUCUGAUUAGCUAGUUGGUAAGGUAGCGGCUUACCAAGGCGACGAUCAGUAGCCGACCUGAGAGGGUGAUCGGCCACAUUGGAACUGAGACACGGUCCAAACUCCUACGGGAGGCAGCAGUGGGGAAUAUUGCACAAUGGGCGAAAGCCUGAUGCAGCAACGCCGCGUGAGUGAUGAAGGCCUUCGGGUCGUAAAACUCUGUCCUCAAGGAAGAUAAUGACGGUACUUGAGGAGGAAGCCCCGGCUAACUACGUGCCAGCAGCCGCGGUAAUACGUAGGGGGCUAGCGUUAUCCGGAUUUACUGGGCGUAAAGGGUGCGUAGGCGGUCUUUCAAGUCAGGAGUGAAAGGCUACGGCUCAACCGUAGUAAGCUCUUGAAACUGGGAGACUUGAGUGCAGGAGAGGAGAGUGGAAUUCCUAGUGUAGCGGUGAAAUGCGUAGAUAUUAGGAGGAACACCAGUUGCGAAGGCGGCUCUCUGGACUGUAACUGACGCUGAGGCACGAAAGCGUGGGGAGCAAACAGGAUUAGAUACCCUGGUAGUCCACGCUGUAAACGAUGAGUACUAGGUGUCGGGGGUUACCCCCUUCG